UGGACCUGGCGGUAGGCUCCACAUUUAGUCGAGGGGUACAGGAGAUAGCUUGCUAUCUUGCUGACGACCGGCGAACGGGUGAGUAACGCGUAGGAAUCUGCCUCAAAGCAGGGGAUAGCCCGGGGAAACUCGGAUUAAUACCGUAUAUAUUCUAAGGAAUAAAGAUGCCUUUUGGUGUCGCUUUGAGAUGAGCCUGCGUCCGAUUAGCUUGUUGGUAAGGUAAAAGCUUACCAAGGCGACGAUCGGUAGCUGGUCUGAGAGGACGUACAGCCACACUGGGACUGAGACACGGCCCAGACUCCUACGGGAGGCAGCAGUGGGGAAUAUUGCGCAAUGGGGGCAACCCUGACGCAGCCAUACCGCGUGGAUGAAGAAGGCCUUAGGGUCGUAAAGUCCUUUCAGCAAGGAAAAAAAUCUUGGCAUUAAUAGUGUCGGGACUUGAUGUUACUUGCAGAAGAAGCACCGGCU
rnacentral:rRNA from 1 species